GACGAACGCUGGCGGCGUGCUUAACACAUGCAAGUCGAACGGAAAGGCCCUGCUUUUGUGGGGUGCUCGAGUGGCGAACGGGUGAGUAACACGUGAGUAACCUGCCCUUGACUUUGGGAUAACUUCAGGAAACUGGGGCUAAUACCGGAUAGGAGCUCCUGCUGCAUGGUGGGGGUUGGAAAGUUUCGGCGGUUGGGGAUGGACUCGCGGCUUAUCAGCUUGUUGGUGGGGUAGUGGCUUACCAAGGCUUUGACGGGUAGCCGGCCUGAGAGGGUGACCGGCCACAUUGGGACUGCGAUACGGACCAGAAUCCUACGGGAGGCAGCAGUGGGGAAUAUUGCACAGUGGGCGGAAGCCUGAUGCAGCAACGCCGCGUGCGGGAUGACGGCCUUCGGGUUGUAAACCGCUUUCGCCUGUGACGAAGCGUGAGUGACGGUAAUGGGUAAAGAAGCACCGGCUAACUACGUG
rnacentral:rRNA from 1 species